AAAUAAUUUUAAUAAUCAGGUGUUUAAGGAACUUAAUAAGGAAACCGGUUUGAAUCCGGUACAGCCCCCACUACUGUGAAGCUGACGAAAGCAUAUUACCACUGGAAGUUUUUCCGGGAAGGAUGUGAGUAGGGUGAAGCUAGUCAGGAGACUUGCCUGUUAUUAUUUAUUUAA
rnacentral:ncRNA from 2 species